AUGGCCGCCGCCGCCGCCGCCGCCGCGAGGUCGCGCGCCGCCACCGCCGCCGCGUGGGCUCGCCUGCUCUCCCACCGCCGCGUCGCCGCCGCAGCCGCGUCCGGAUCGCUGCCCCACCUGGCAGGCCCGCGGAUCGCGCCCCAGCGCCGCCACUUCGCCUUCUCCUCCGCCUCCCCCGGCGCCGGCGGCGGGGCGAGGGACAGUGAGCCGCUGUUCACCGAGCAGACCGUCUACGACCUGCUGGCCCAGCUGGAGCGGGAGCGGCAGAAGGAACGCGAGGAUCGGCGCAAGGCCGGGGCCGGCGGCGGCGGCGAGGGGAAGGGGGACGAGGAGGAGGAGGAGGAGGAGGAGGACUUCCUGGGCGUGAAGCCGCUGAUCGAGAAGUUGGAGCGGCGGAACGCCAAGGAGGCCAACCUCCCCGACGAGUCCUUCCUGGAGCCCAGCGACUCCGAGUCCGACGAGGACGACGAGCGCUUCUCCUCCGACUCCAUCCGCCGCCGCGUCGACGAGUUCGACCGCAAGUGCAAGCGCCAGUCCGAGCUCCUCCGCUCCUUUGCCGAGGCCGAGACCCUUGAUGACGCUCACAAGAUCAUGACGAAGAUCGACAAGUUCGAGCAGCGCCAUCUGAGCCUGCCGCUGGAGUACAGGGUCAUCGGGGACAUGAUGAACCGCCUCAAGGACUCCACGGGGAAAGAGCGCUUCAUCCUCCUGCAGAAGCUGAACCGGGCCGUCAGGCUCAUGGAGUGCAAGGAGGCGUACGACCCCAGCAACCCCGCAAACUUCGGGCUUAUCCAGCACCAGCAGGUCGACUCUCCGGACGAUGUGAUUGAUAACACUGGCUUCGACAAGGAGAAGCAGAUGAUCCAAGGAGAGAGCCUCGAGGACGAGGAUGAGGAGUUCAAUGAAGCCAAGGAGAAGGAUGAUAUGCUCAUCGAGAAACUAAAUGCUAUUGAGAAGAAGAUCGAGGAGAAGUUGGCGGACCUGGAUCAUACGUUUGGUAAGAAGGGCAGGGUUUUGGAAGAGGAAAUAAAGGAUCUGGUGGAGGAGAGGAACUCCCUCACGGACAAAAAGAGGAGGCCUAUGUACAGAAAAGGUUUUGAUGUGAAGGUCAUUGAUGUUAACCGGACAUGCAAAGUUACAAAGGGAGGCCAAAUAGCAAAAUACACAGCAUUGUUGGCAACUGGAAACUACCAUGGUGUUGUAGGUUUUGCAAAAGCUAAAGGUCCAACAGCAAAGAUUGCAAUACAGAGGGCCUAUGAGAAAUGCUUCCAGAACCUACAUUACAUGGAGCGGUACGAGGAGCACACAAUUGCUCAUGCGAUUCAGGCCAAAUACGAGAAAACAAAGAUCUACCUCUGGCCCGGACCAAUGAGGAGCGGGAUGUGCGCCGCUGGCAGGACUGUCGAAACUGUGAUGUAUCUAGCCGGGUUUAGCAACGUCAAGUCAAAGAUUAUCGGAUCGAGGAGCCCGCUCAACGUUAUCAAGGCUCUCUUCAUAGCACUAAAUGCCAUUGAAACGCCCAAGGAUGUGGAGCAGAAGUUUGGACGGACUGUUGUGGAGUCGUACUUGUUGUAG
rnacentral:rRNA from 1 species